AUUGAACGCUGGCGGCAUGCCUUACACAUGCAAGUCGAACGGUAACGGGCCUUCGGGUGCCGACGAGUGGCGAACGGGUGAGUAAUGCAUCGGAACGUACCUUUCAGUGGGGGAUAACGUAGCGAAAGUUACGCUAAUACCGCAUAUUCUGUGAGCAGGAAAGCAGGGGAUCGCAAGACCUUGCGCUGAUUGAGCGGCCGAUGUCAGAUUAGCUAGUUGGUGAGGUAAAGGCUCACCAAGGCGACGAUCUGUAGCGGGUCUGAGAGGAUGAUCCGCCACACUGGAACUGAGACACGGUCCAGACUCCUACGGGAGGCAGCAGUGGGGAAUUUUGGACAAUGGGGGGCAACCCUGAUCCAGCCAUGCCGCGUGAGUGAAGAAGGCCUUCGGGUUGGUUAAAGCGUCUUUCGGUCCGGGAACGAAAGUACGCAUGGGCUAAGUACCCUAGUGCGGAUGACGGUACC
rnacentral:rRNA from 1 species